rnacentral:rRNA from 1 species
ACGGGUGGUAAUGCCGGAUGCUCCAUCACACUGCAUGGUGUGUUGGGAAAGCCUUUGCGGCAUGGGAUGGGGUCGCGUCCUAUCAGCUUGAUGGCGGGGUAACGGCCCACCAUGGCUUCGACGGGUAGCCGGCCUGAGAGGGCGACCGGCCACAUUGGGACUGAGAUACGGCCCAGACUCCUACGGGAGGCAGCAGUGGGGAAUAUUGCACAAUGGGCGCAAGCCUGAUGCAGCGACGCCGCGUGAGGGAUGGAGGCCUUCGGGUUGUAAACCUCUUUUGUUAGGGAGCAAGGCAUUUUGUGUUGAGUGUACCUUUCGAAUAAGCACCGGCUAACUACGUGCCAGCAGCCGCGGUAAUACGUAGGGUGCAAGCGUUAUCCGGAAUUAUUGGGCGUAAAGGGCUCGUAGGCGGUUCGUCGCGUCCGGUGUGAAAGUCCAUCGCUUAACGGUGGAUCCGCGCCGGGUACGGGCGGGCUUGAGUGCGGUAGGGGAGACUGGAAUUCCCGGUGUAACGGUGGAAUGUGUAGAUAUCGGG